rnacentral:lncRNA from 1 species
GAUCUUCCCUCUCUUCAUUAGCUUAUCAAUGGUUAAUAUUGUGACAAAAAUGAAAAGAAAGGUUUGAGAUCAUUAGUAAUAUAUAACUAAACUCAGAUUUAGACAUUCAAGAACCACCAUUCUCAUUUUUAUUUUCUUUCACAACUUCUAACCUGAGAGUCCUUUGACAGGGUCUCCCCGUUAUUAUUAUUAUACAUCUAAACUCUGGAUCAUCAAGUACUUGAGGUACCCAUUAGUUUGUUAUACAUAUCCAACACACAAACCAGGAAUUUGACGUCUCCAAAAGGGUGUGCACUAAAAUUAAACAGUCCAGGCAACAUGAUCUACAACACAAUUAACGAAAGAACAGAUUGUGGCUCUUCUACAACACAAUUAACAAAAGAACAGAUUGUGGCUCUUACUUCUUCCAAUUCCAAGCUGCCCACUCGAGUUCUUCCCCCAUACAUAGAGCUCCCCAUCCGCUACAAUAAAAUGAUGGAGAUUGUUAUGGAGAAUAUAGUAAAUGCUUAUGCCGAGUAUAACAAAGUACAUACUAUGUAAAUAUCUAUCUGCUUAAAACAAAAAAUUCAAAAAGAUUUCAUGAAACUACAAGAUCCAAGGAUAAGAGUUACAUAACCAAAAAAAAAAGGGGAAAGGAAAAUUUCAAUUUGAAGCUAGAGUUCACUUCUGCUUGUUAAUUACAAAGAUAAGAAAAAAUAGUACUAACCUCCAAUUUUCUUAAGUUCCUUUUCAUAUAAAUUUUUACAAGCUUC